CUCUGCUCAGCUCAGCUCAGCCCGGCGCGGCGGCAGCGGCGGCGGUGCCCGGCGCGGGGGAAGGGGCCGGAGCGCGGCGCGGCCGCCGGGGCCUUUUAUCCCCACCCCCGCCGCGGGCGGUGAAGGUCGGUCAGGACCGGGGAACUGUCCAGCCGCCGCCGAUUGGCGGCCGCCCGGGCUCCCCCCGCUGCCCAUUGGCUGCGGCGCGAGGACGGGGCCCUGCACCAUUGUGUGCGUCACGGGAGGCAAAGUUCCAAGAAACUUGGCUGCCGGCGCGGAGUCCCCGAGAUGUCGCGGCGGGGGGGGGGCGGGGCCGCGGCGCCGGGGGGCGGAGCCUCUGCGCCGGGGGGCCCGCGGCGCGGGGCGGAGGGGCGCGAGAUGCCGCGGUCUGGGGGCCUGCGGUGGGGCCAGGUGCCAGCGCCGCGGCUGCGGGCUCUCGGUCGUCUCCCAGGUGGUGACAUUCGCCUGCCGUCUGUCUGGCCGCCAGCCGCUCGCCGGGCUGCAGCCCAGGAGGCUGGUGCUCGCUCGCGGCGGCCCUGGCACGCGGGGUACGGUGCGCACCCGCACCGGCCUCCUCGUUGACCGCAAGUGGUGGGACCUGCUGCUCCCUUGCCGAGGAGGAAACGCUUCACUCGGUGAAGCCUCCUCUGACCCCCCGCGGGGAAAAGCGGCCCCAGAGGAACAACUGCUCCUUUUGCCAGGCGUUCGCUGACCUGCCGUUCAGCCAGGAGAACAACGCUCGAGUUAUGCUGCCUUUUGUUCGCCUGUUUCUUCCCCACUCGUGCCAGCGUGGUGACAGGCGCGGAGGCCACGCGGGAAGACGAGCGGCGCAGGGUAACGCGCCACCGCCGCCUCCAGAGCUGCUCGACCCCGCGCGGGUCAGCCGUGGCGCAGAAAGUCGUCUUUCAUCAUUCAGGUCCGAUUCCGGAUGAAAAGUCAUUAAAGGCGGCUGCUUCCUCCGCUUCCCGCUAGCUCCGGGGCACCGGCACUGCAGUCGCAUCUGAUUACUUCGAGCCCUGGAUAAUUUGUACCGAAUCUCGGGAUCGAAAUAAAUGGUUUGAGGGCCGGUUCUGCCGCGCUUGUGUUGCGUUUGAGCCCAAAGGCAAGGGAUUAGUUUAAUCCAGAACCAAAUUUGCCUUUGCUGGCUCCGCUUUGCAAAAUGUGUUUGUCCAAUCCAUUGGAAGCACGUGCAUUUCUGUAGAAACACAGCCUGUUUGCUGACCGUGCCGCGCUGGAGAGAAAGCAUUGCGUUUGCCCAGGAAAUCUCUCACAGCGUGCCUGGCACUAACGAUGAAACGUGAUGUCCUAGAGAGGUCUGAAUUCUCUUACGGCAUAUAUAUAUUUUACGUACGAA